rnacentral:misc_RNA from 1 species
AAACUCUCAAGCCCCGCUUGGUAUUGGGUGCGGCCCCCUGGGGGCCCUCCCGCAACCCGUUGGGCGGGACCGUCUGGCUCCAAGCGUAGCAAGAAUCUUCCCUCGCUUCGGAGGCCCGGCGGCCCUCGCCCGGGAACAUCCAUCAAA